rnacentral:tRNA from 1 species
GGGCAUUUGUCCUAGUGGUAUGAUUCUCGCUUUGGGUGUGGGUGCGAGAGGUCCCGAGUUCCAUUCUCGGAAUGCCCC